rnacentral:tRNA from 1 species
GGCAGUGUACCAUAGUGGUUAAGGAGCAGGACUCGUAACCUGGUUGCUGGUUCGAUCCCUGCUGGGACACUGCUG